CGGAACAUUACGGAAUGUUCAAUCGUUGAUAAUAAUACAUCUCACAGUUAAAACUUCUUAGGGCUAGGGGGCAGUAUUCAGAAGUUCGGAUGACUGAUAUGCCCAAAGUAAACUGCCUGUUACUCAGGCCCAGAAGCUAGGAUACGCAUAUAAUUGAUAGCAUUGGAUAGACAACACUCUGAAGUUUCUAAAACUGUUAAACCAAUGUCUGUGAGUAUAACGGAACUGACAUGGCAGGCAAAAACCAGAGGAGAAUCCAUCCGUAAAAAAAAUUGUUUGAGGUCACAGGCCAUUCCAAUGCUUGCCUAUGGGAUAUUCAAAAGAAAUCCUCCCAGAUUGCAGUUCCUAUGGCUUCCACUAGAUUUCAACAAGCUUUAGAAAGGGUUUCAGGCAGGCUUGUUUUUUGAAAAAUGAAGAAGUAGUUGUAGUUUUUCAGUGUCCCUCAGUAGGACUCGUCUUGUGGCGUGCGUGAAUGAGGGCGCGCACUUCGUUAUUUAUCUCCGGUAUUGAACAUACUACAUUCUGUCUUAAAUGUUAUAGUUUAUUUACAUAUUAGCGUACCUGAGGAUUGAUUGGAAACGUUGUUUGACUUGUUUGGACGAAGUUUACCCGUAACUUUUGGGAUUCUUUUGUCUGCAUGUUGAGCGAGUGGAACGGGUGGAUUUCUGCAUCAAACGCACCAACUAAACUGACUUUUUGGGGAUAUAGAGAAGGACUUUAUCGAACAAAACGACCAUUUGUUGUGUAGCUGGGACCCUUGGGAUUGCAGACAGAGGAAGAUCUUCAAAGUGUCCACACUGACCCUAACAGUGACAUGUGCACAGCUCUGAACAUAAGGACCAGGUCACCAGAGUACGACACUCUGACAAGUGUGAGGGACUCCCCCAGUGAUACAGACCCUCAGGGAGACGCUCAACCCUCCAAUUAUGAGAACUGAAGAGAACCUGGACUGAACAAAACCACCACAGAGCCUGGACUGAAGAUAACUAAAACAGAACCUGGACUGAAGAGAACCACCACAGAACCUGGACUGAAGAGAACCAAAACAGAACCUGGACUGAAGAGAACCACCACAGAACCUGGACUGAAGAGAACCAAAACAGAACCUGGACUGAAGAGAACC
rnacentral:lncRNA from 1 species